UAAUAAUAAUAAUAAUAAUAAUAAUAAUAAUAAUAAUAGACAAACACCAGAUAAGGCAGUGGUUAUUCGCAGUUAUAGUUGCGGUGAGCAGUCGUGAGGGAGAUGCCCCCAAAAGCUACGUGUUAGCCAAAGUUAUCGAAGGUUCAGGUGCAUCACGUUCAAUCGUUCCAAUUCCGAAAGGAGAAAUCGUGAAUAAAAAUCCGAACUUUAAAAAAAUCAUCCCUCGUGAGUAGGUACUAAAAAUACCUUGAGGUAUCAAGUAUCGUUGAAAAAAUAAAGCGUGAAAUGAAAUAUAAAAUGAAACUUCGGAGCGAUCGAAGCGCCACCAUCCCCCCUGUUAACCUUGUAGGUUAGCAGCAUUAAAAAGUUCGGGCUUGCAUCAAAGCACCAUGACGAUCUGCGCGAGAGUUAAAGUUUCUUUUCUUUCUUUUUUUUUUUUUUUUUUAGUCGCGAGGCCGUGGAUAGGACAAUUGUCUUCCUAUAUGGACGGAUCGUCUCGUAUGGACGAAACACCGUGAAAUUCGUCCACGGGUGGAACGUGUUCGUUUCUUGCUACACCAACAAAAAAAACACCACACGACUAAAUGGUUCCUGAUCCACGUGGACCGGGAUCGUUAUUGACAAACAAGAUUGUUAUUAGAGAGAGAGAGAGAAAAAAAAAGAUAAAAAAAAAAGAUUAAAAAAAAAAAAAAGAACACAUAAAUGAGAGGUAACACAGGCACAUUACCACGCAUGCAUCUCGAAAACUCGUUUCACCUGUUCAAUCAGCGUCUGGCGCUUCUAAUGCAGACCCGAGACUGGGUAAAAAACUGGUUACAAUAAUGAGUCUACCUGUCCGCAGCUGUCUGUGUAGACGACACAGUGAGCGUUUUGGGGGACCACUUGGGCCCCGACAGUGGCUAAGGCUGCUAAGGCGAUCCACAUGCAGCAAACGAGGCAGUGUUCGUCGGUCGCGAAUUCGGUUGAGAAGGCACCAAAAUCAAAGUGAAGCACGUCGAAACGUGCCCUCGGAGCACCCAGGUACAUGUACACGGAAAAAAAAAAAGAAUUCGAGUAUGUUGUAGGUAAUAGUAGGUAAUAGUGGUAACAGUUUGUUGUUGUUAUAUAUAUAUUUUUUUUUUUUGAGGAUGAGGGUAUUUUCAUUUGUUUUUUUUUUUUCAAAAUCAUUGUCGCAUUUAUCGUCGCAUCGUUCGUUGGAAGAUGUCCGCCAAAAAAAGUAGGGGAUGCGAAGAUAAGAGAUAUUUUUAUUCGUGGUAUUUUUAUUUUUUGGCAAAUUCGUAAUUUUUUUUUUUUUUUUUGGUCGAUGGACAUGGUCACAACGGUUAUUUCGUUAUUUUCCGAUCAUGGUGCAUGGAGAAAAAAAAGUGGUGGUCGAUGUGGGCGGCAGGGAAGGGGGCCAAAAAGGGGGGAGAGUUACAACAGAAUGAUAAUGUGAAUAUUAUUCACGGAUGAUGAAAGAAAUUUGUAUGUAUAUAUGUAUGCAUGUGUGCGGACGCGUGAUAACCGUGUGUAAAUUUAUCACCAUUAUUAACGAUAAUCAUCGCGCGCAUCAUUGCGGUUGUUUUCGAUUUUUCAUUUUUUUAAAAAUUAUUAUUAUUUAAACGUAUGUUCGUUAAUCAUCACCGUGUGUGUUUUUCAAUAUAUGACAAAAAUAAUGGGAUAUAUAUAUAUAUACAUAUAUAUGCAUGUACCAGGGUGUGCACGAAAAAUAUGUGCGUAUGUGUGUGUGUGCGUGUGUGUAUGUAUACGCGGACACAAAUAUAAAUAUAUAUAUAUAUAUGCAAAACACGUCGUAAAUAACACGAUAAAUUGUCGGUGGUUGUUUCACGGGGUGAUGGGCGAACAUGGCAGCGAUAAUGCGGCAGCGGUGCACACAUACCAAGCCAGUUCAUAUAUAUAUAUAUACAUAUAUAUAUGUAUUAUAAACCAUAUAUAUAUAUAUAUAUAUACGUGUAUUGAUGUGUACGUGUGUCGAUCACGGUAUCCACGGAUAAAGAAAAAAAAAAAAAAAGUCAUCGCGGAGGAACGAUCGAGUAUACGUUACAACAUGUGCACAAACAGGACAGGUACGGGCGUGUUGCGCGCAGAAGAGAAUAUACCGUGUCCGAAUUCGAGACCGAAAACGGUAAUUCCGAGGAUAAAUACGAUAUUCGUGAGACGGCCCAUCACCGAGAGACGUAUUAUAUUUCGUUUGUCGAUCGAUAUAUGUAUACACAUAUAUAUAUAUAUAUAUAUAUGAAAUACACGUGAUUGUAUUUAAUUCAUUUUUUUUUAUCGUCGUGAUGUAACAGAAACGAGUGUGUGACGACACAAAAAAAAAUAUAUAUAUAUAUAUAUAUAACCCGUUGAAUAACGUGUGACGAGAGAGUACGAGUUUCGUUCGGUGGGAGAGGAGGAGAAGGAGGAAAAUAAAAAUCGGGACGUGAAUUAAGAAAUUUAUUAAUCACGAUGAACGAGGAAGGGACAGGAAUGAAAAUCCCCGCCGGAAGAAAGAGAAGGGAGAGGACGAAAACGGGAGAGGACGAGAAAAUAAUAUAAAUAUAUGUGUAUAUAGAGAGAGACAGGGAGAGAGACAGAGAAAUAGGAGAGAAGAAGCGUAAGGUUUGUCAUGUGCGCGGGAGGGAGAGAGAGAAAGAGAAAGAGAGAGAGAGAGAGAGAGAGAUUGGUCACAAUCGCCACAUGAAUGCAAUUAAUCGGAGAAGGAUGCGGGAUUGGAUUUCGCAGCAGUCGUCGCAGAUUCCGUGGAACGGGCGGGUAACUCAGGCACGUGCGGCGUUUCAGGAUCAAUUUCGGGGAGAUAGGGUGAUUCGGGCACGUGCGUGGAGGGCCGUAGUGCGGUCGUGUGGCCGGACAUUCGGUACAGUGAGAGAGGGAUCGGGGAGGUAUCGUCGAUGGAACCGGAAUGUAAGCGUUGACGGGACGGAGAUCAAACAAUUGUAUGCGUGGUAAUUUGUCGGUCGAAAGACGUGCGUUGGAAAUCCAGGCGAGGGCAAGCAUGAAACAGAAAGUUUAAAGAGAAGAUUAUGAACGAUCGCGCGAUUCAACGUGCAACUGAUUGUUUUUUUUUUUUUUUGGUCGGAUCGCAUGUGUGUACGUGUGUGUGUAUCGUGUUAUAUAUAUAUAUACAUUGUCAAUUAUUUUCCUUGCUCUCCCUUGUGCGUAUGUAUGUGUGUAUGUAUGUAUGUAUGUAUACGUGUGCGUAUGUGUGUAAUGUGAGCAUGUAAUGUGUUACACGCAUUAAGAAACAAACAAAAAAAAUGGUACAAGAUUCACAGCAAUGACGAUAUAUGAUAUCAGCUACGAUCUAAUAUGGCCUCUCUCGUUUCUCUCGACGAGAAAGCGUUGUAUGUUUGUUACAAGGAUAAGCGGAUAAUUGGAAUGAAUAUAAUUUAAUUCGUUUCCACGAACCAAAUGCAGUCGUGCUUUUUCUCCGCAAAUAUAAAUAUAUAUAUAUAUAUAUCGUGAAAUAAUAUAAAAUAUCGUGUUCGCAUGCGCUUAAGCUUUAUAUUAUUUUUAUGUUAUGUUCGUGUGAUCUUUUUUUUUUUUUUUAAUUAUUAUAUGUUCAGUAUUAUGUGACGUAUAUAUAUAUAAAUAUUGACACCAUGCGCGUGUUGGUAAGUAACGUUCAUGUCGCAAUGUUAGGAACUGAAUCGCAAUAAUGAAAUAAAUUGAAAAAAAAAAAAAACAAAUAUAUAUAUAUAUAGACAGAGAUAGAGAGAAUGCGAAUGAGAAGAAAAGACAUAGAAAAUAGAUAUAAAGAGAUAUAUAGCAAAGAAAACAUUUGUUUUUAUUUCGUUCGUACAUGAUAAGUAGCGAUGAAAGAUACAGAGAAAAAAGAUACGAGCACAAGCCAUCGAUUAUAAUAACAUUCUACGGUACGCGUGUCGCGUGUGAAAGCCGUUAAAAAAAAAGAGAUAGAGAGAGAUGUAUGAUCUACGUGCGCGCUAAUCAAAAUACAGAGAAGAAGCGGUUUUUCUAAUACGCGUCUAAAAAGAAAAGUGUCUCGCUGGAUACAACGAGAUAUAUAUGUAUAUAAUUAAUCGUGAAGCUCGAAGUGCUUGAAGCUUGCAUAUGCGACAAAAUAAAGUGCUACUGCGAUACUUACAUCGGAAAGAGUGCUUCACAUCGGUUUCUAUAUCGACACAGGUGUAUACAGAUUGGACAGAAUCUACGAUCUAACCGGCCGAUCCAAAUAUCACGUUCUUUCUUCGUAUUCUUUUUCUCCUUCUGUACGUAUAUAUACAAUCUGUAUACGUAGUGUACAUGCAUCCUCUUCUGGAGUUAUUCGAUCGACAAGUUUCACGAUGUAUUCGAAAUAAAGAGGGAAAUGAUGAAAAGGACAACCGAUGAGAACCGAUUCUGUCCAUUCGUAUCCACCGAUCGGCCGUCACACGUUGGACGUUAGAGUGCGGCGAUAAACCAUCGGUCAAAUCGUCCUGGCCAUUCGAGUGCAGCUCCGGUUUAAUUUGCUCCAGGUCUGUUCGUGCGGUGCCAUGAACAUUUAUUUUACGUAUUCGCGAUACGUAAUGGCAUCGACGAGUUUCAUAUCGCGUUAUGUAUAUAAAUAUCUCUUUUCUUUUUCUGGAACCGUCGCGACUACUGCCACUGGGUAGCAGUGUGCGUGUGCGCGCAUGCGCGUACGUUUCGUGUCACCUCAAACGUGAGGUUAAGAGUCAAGAAUGGUGAAUCGAAAAAUAACCGUUAAAUGAAAAUUAACGGAAUGUAUAUAUUUGUCUUUUCGUUAUCACUUCCCCUUUUAAGAAUCUCACACUUUUUUUAGAAUCGUUUCCUUUUUUUCCCUUUUUUCUUUUUUUCUUUUCUCGUGGUCGAUGACACAGAACGUCGCGUAGCAUAUGAUCGUCGAACAAUUCUGCGUAGCACUCUUCUCGCCUUUGAAUCGCAAGGCAAAUAUUUUGAAAGCGAUCGAAACAGGUGAGGAGGCCUCGGCGCGUUAUAGUACUGUAUAAUACAUAUAUGUAUAUACUUGAUGCGAUCAAAAGCGUGGAUUAUUUCAUAUAUAUAUAUGUAUAAGAGAUAUAUGUAUAAAAUAUACAUAGGUUGUAAAAUAGAGAUGCAUGAAUACAGCCUGUUUCGGUGACACACACCCUUUGGAAUCACGAUUAUCCUCUCGGUGAAGCGUUUUGCCCACGGUUAACCGAGACUCGACGUGUUGCAAAGGUCUCUCUCCAUGUGCCAAGCAAAUUACAAAACAAUUCAGUAUAUAUAUAUAUAGGCACACGCGCGUAAAUAUAUAUUCUUACACAGGCGAUAGCGGCUAAAUAAUAUAAUAAUCGAAGCUGAAUAAGAAGCCGACCGAACGCAGGAAGAGUUUGGGGUUCGUUACUUGGAUAUCGGAAGUUAACUCGAAGAAGGUCGAUUUCCAUACCUUUGUAACUUUCUCAUUGUCGUUAUCGAUCAUCUUGUUGGACUGUUGAAAAUGUUGGGUAUUUCCUACUGGAAUUCGAAGGGAAAUUUAAUCGAGAUAGUAAAUCGAUCGAUUAUUCUAAUUUUUAGGCCAUUCCUCCUUCCUCUACAUUUAUUUUUCCUUCGAAGCAAUUAAAGAAGACGAGUCUAUAUAAUGAGAUAUAUUUUUAAAUUACUUUGUAAUUUAAUUGACUCGUCGGCAUUUCUUUCCACCCAAGAUUUCAAAACUUUUGUAAGAUUGGCGUAAGUAUUUAUAUCUUUUAACCCUUUUCUCUCUUCUUAUUUAAAAUAAUAUUUUUGAAAAUCUAAUAAAGAAAAAUCUUCAAUUUUAUGCAAAAAGAGCUUUAAUUACUCAAAAAGGAACUAUCGUUAAACGUUUUGACAUUUUGAUCCAACAAUUUUCAUCGAUCCAAAAGAUAAUCAAAUCGCAAGUAUAUAUAUAAAUUCAUGUAAUUAUAUCGACCUUCUUCCCUUCUUCAAUUAUUAGUAAAAUAAUAACGGAGAGGGGGGAAAGGAUAAGUCUAAUGUGGCGAUUGUUGAUAAAAAUGUGGCUCAGGGAGCGGGAACGUCGACGUGAUAAGAUAAACGGAUAAUAUACCUAGAUAUUACUCCUUCGUGCCUCUGAAUUUCGCAACUAAAGCGCAAGGAUAAGCUGUGGUAGAGGCGAAAAGGUCAGGAAUAUGUGUAUACAUAUACACACUUAUCAUACGUGUGUGUGUGUGUAUAUAUAUAUAUAUAUAAAACGUAAUUUUACGGUCAGAGAGACAAGAAAGAAAUAAGAUAGUUUAAAAAAAAAAAAAAAAAAAAAUAUACAAGAAC